rnacentral:rRNA from 1 species
GGGAAGCAGACUGAAGCCUUCGGGCGGACGUCUGUGGAACGAGCGGCGGAUGGGUGAGUAACACGUGGGCAACCUGCCUGUAAGCUCGGGAUAACUAGCGGAAACGCUAGCUAAUACCGAAUAACGCUGCGCACCGCAUGGCGCGCAGAUGAAAGGCGGCGCAAGCUGCCACUUACAGAUGGGCCCGCGGCGCAUUAGCUAGUUGGUGGGGUAACGGCCUACCAAGGCGACGAUGCGUAGCCGACCUGAGAGGGUGAUCGGCCACACUGGGACUGAGACACGGCCCAGACUCCUACGGGAGGCAGCAGUAGGGAAUAUUCCGCAAUGGGCGAAAGCCUGACGGAGCGACGCCGCGUGAGCGAUGAAGGUCUUCGGAUCGUAAAGCUCUGUUGUUAGGGAAGAACAAGUACCGGAGUAACUGCCGGCACCUUGACGGUACCUAACCAGAAAGCCCCGGCUAACUACGUGCCAGCAGCCGCGGUAAUACGUAGGGGGCGAGCGUUGUCCGGAAUUAUUGGGCGUAAAGGGCGCGUAGGCGGUCUCUUAAGUCUGAUGUGAAAGCCCCCGGCUUAACCGGGGAGGGUCAUUGGAAACUGGGAGACUUGAGUGCAGGAGAGGGAAGCGGAAUUCCAUGUGUAGCGGUGAAAUGCGUAGAGAUAUGGAGGAACACCAGUGGCGAAGGCGGCUUCCUGGCCUGUAACUGACGCUGAGGCGCGAAAGCGUGGGGAGCAAACAGGAUUAGAUACCCUGGUAGUCCACGCCGUAAACGAUGAGUGCUAGGUGUUAGGGAGUUUCCACUCCUUAGUGCUGCAGUUAACGCAUUAAGCACUCCGCCUGGGGA